UUUGUAUGUCUAUGAUAUAUUCAGCAUGAGAAAGUUCAUUGUAUAUAUGAUAGUAUAAAGAAAGAAUAGCAAAAUAUUGAUUGGAAAGUGAAGGAAUGGACUAUAAAAAGAUAGAUAUUAAGGGGUUGAGGGGGAUGUAUUCGUGUAUGCAAAAAUAAAAAUGGAUGGGCUCUUGUGUCUUUCUAUUCAUUCAUUCAUUUGUCUAUUUUCAAACAUUCGUAUAUGUAUGCCUCUGUCUAUGACUUCUUCUACCAUGCAUGCAUCUUCAAC
rnacentral:lncRNA from 1 species